rnacentral:rRNA from 1 species
GAUGAACGCUGGCGGCGUGCCUAAUACAUGCAAGUCGAGCGAACAGAUAAGGGGCUUGCUCCUUUGACGUUAGCGGCGGACGGGUGAGUAACACGUGGGUAACCUACCUAUAAGACUGGAAUAACUCCGGGAAACCGGGGCUAAUGCAGGAUAACAUGUUGAACCGCAUGGUUCUACAGUGAAAGGCGGCUUUGCUGUCACUUAUAGAUGGACCCGCGCCGUAUUAGCUAGUUGUUGAGGUAACGGCUCACCAAGGCAACGAUACGUAGCCGACCUGAGAGGGUGAUCGGCCACACUGGAACUGAGACACGGUCCAGACUCCUACGGGAGGCAGCAGUAGGGAAUCUUCCGCAAUGGGCGAAAGCCUGACGGAGCAACGCCGCGUGAGUGAUGAAGGUCUUCGGAUCGUAAAACUCUGUUAUUAGGGAAGAACAAAUGCGUAAGUAACUGUGCGCGUCUUGACGGUACCUAAUCAGAAAGCCACGGCUAACUACGUG